rnacentral:rRNA from 40 species
CUGCGGAGGGAUCAUU